AAUGAACGUUGGCGGCGUGGAUUAGGCAUGCAAGUCGUGCGGAAAGGCUCCUUCGGGAGUACUCGAGCGGCGAAAGGGAGAGUAACGCGUGGAUAUCUACCCCCUGGCCUGGGAUAGCGGCGGGAAACUGCCGGUAAUACCAGAUAAUGUCUGCGGACCAAAGGUGUGAUUCCGUCGGGGGAUGAGUUCGCGUCCUAUUAGCUAGUAGGUAGGGUAAUGGCCUACCAAGGCACAAAGGGGUACCGGGUGUGAGAGCAUGGCCCGGCUCACUGGGACUGCGACACUGCCCAGACACCUACUGGUGGCUGCAGUCGAGAAUCUUCGGCAAUGGGCGCAAUCCUGACCGAGCGACGCCUCGUGCGGGAUUAAGGCCUUCGGGUUGUAAACCGCUGUCAGAGGGGAGGAAAUGCGUAGGAGUUCUCUCUUACGUUUGACCUAUCCUCAGAGGAAGUACGGGCUAAGUUCGUGCCAGCCGCCGCAGUAAAAC
rnacentral:rRNA from 1 species